rnacentral:sRNA from 1 species
GGAAGGGUUAGACAGCCGCCCGGCGUCAUACGCUAUCUGUGUGUUUGGCUGACCAUCUGACGGCUGUCCGGAUCGCUCCUGAUGCCAAGAUAAAACGUUUCGAAAAAAUUAUCCAGUGAUCCGACCUCCGACGUAAACACGGGAGAAUUGAUCACAAACUCCCAACCUCGUCACAACGCUUGCUUAUAACCAACUUAAAUGGACGCGCGUCAAUGAAAAUCAUGCCAGGACCUCCGUAUGCCUAUGAGAUUGGAUUCACAGUUAAUAAUAUGCCUGGAUAUACUUUCUCUGUCCCGUCCAUGAAUUACGUCUAUAUUUUUUUAUCACUAUAAUAGUUGACAUUGUGUGCUUUUUUCUUAAGAGAUAACGUGCACGAAACGCAUCUGGUGGUCCAGUGAUCUUAGGAAAUGUGACCCCCUCUCUAAUGUGCCCAAAUAACUGCCACGUGAUGGGCUUAAUCAUAGCCAUUACGCGGUCAGGGAGGGUGAAAGCGGAUGGCUAAUUAUCCCAUGUUACGCCUUCCUCUAGGAAAUGACCCCUCUUAGACACGAUACAUUUCCUAUUUUUCCCAAUGUUUAUUAUUUUAACAAAUUUGACAUAUUUAUUGGAAUAUAUUUUUAAAAAAUCAACAAAAAAAUGCAUAGAUGUGAAAAUGCAGUUUUACACAUACGGAACUUAAAUUGCCAUUUAUUUAUUCACAUGCAGAUUCAUUACGAAAACCGUUACAACGAAAACUGCAAUAAUUUCAUCCCUUUGUUAUUCACUGAUAAAUGUCGAUAUUUCUUUUUGGGAGACUCAUUCAGACAGAACAUUAUGGGAAGAACAAUCUGUUAAACGAAUCAAUUAAUUGUCCAGAAAGAACAAUGCAAAAGCUAAUAUUCCGCUUGAAUGUUUAAGACUUAUUGUUCGCAGUAUCGCUUCAGCUAGACUAUUACUUUCACGAAGUAUUGUAACAAAUCUCCGGUUCCAGAUGCUGAUUAGAACAAGACACAUCGAUCGUCCAGCUUUAAAUAAAUCUGGACAAUUUAUUGCCUUCAACUAUGAAAGGGUGGUUGGUGUGACCUAGUAUCUGCGAGUCCAAUUGGUUGGGCCAUGAACUGUUCAAGAAAUCCGGAACUCUGGAUUUUAGUGUCUUCAAUAUAUGGGAUACAUUUUCAUCAAUUCUUAGGUAUCUUAGGGUACAGUGUUUAGCUGUUUUGGCAUGUAACUGUCUGUUAUAGCACCAUCUAAUGGCACGGAGGUCCAUUUCUUCCAGCGGCCUUUAUCAUGUCAAUAAAUAUUAAUGCG